rnacentral:misc_RNA from 1 species
AAGGAGUCUAACAUGUAUGCGAGUAUUUGGGUGGCAAACCCUUAUGCGUAAUGAAAGUGAACGGUGGGAUAUUUGCACCAUCGACCGGCCUGGAUUUCUUUGAAAGGUCCGAGUAAGAGCAUGCAUGCUGGGACCCGAAAGAUGGUGAACUAUGCCUGAAUAGGGUGAAGCCAGAGGAAACUCUGGUGGAGGCUCGUAGCGAUUCUGACGCGCAAAUCGAUCGUCAAAUUUGGGUAUAGGGGCGAAAGACUAAUCGAACCAUCUAGUAGCUGGUUCCCUC